GGGUUGUGAGGUUAAGCGACUAAGCGUACACGGUGGAUGCCCUGGCAGUCAGAGGCGAUGAAGGACGUGCUAAUCUGCGAUAAGCGUCGGUAAGGUGAUAUGAACCGUUAUAACCGGCGAUUUCCGAAUGGGGAAACCCAGUGUGUUUCGACACACUAUCAUUAACUGAAUCCAUAGGUUAAUGAGGCGAACCGGGGGAACUGAAACAUCUAAGUACCCCGAGGAAAAGAAAUCAACCGAGAUUCCCCCAGUAGCGGCGAGCGAACGGGGAGGAGCCCAGAGCCUGAAUCAGUGUGUGUGUUAGUGGAAGCGUCUGGAAAGGCGCGCGAUACAGGGUGACAGCCCCGUACACAAAAAUGCACAUGCUGUGAGCUCGAUGAGUAGGGCGGGACACGUGGUAUCCUGUCUGAAUAUGGGGGGACCAUCCUCCAAGGCUAAAUACUCCUGACUGACCGAUAGUGAACCAGUACCGUGAGGGAAAGGCGAAAAGAACCCCGGCGAGGGGAGUGAAAAAGAACCUGAAACCGUGUACGUACAAGCAGUGGGAGCACGCUUAGGCGUGUGACUGCGUACCUUUUGUAUAAUGGGUCAGCGACUUAUAUUCUGUAGCAAGGUUAACCGAAUAGGGGAGCCGAAGGGAAACCGAGUCUUAACUGGGCGUUAAGUUGCAGGGUAUAGACCCGAAACCCGGUGAUCUAGCCAUGGGCAGGUUGAAGGUUGGGUAACACUAACUGGAGGACCGAACCGACUAAUGUUGAAAAAUUAGCGGAUGACUUGUGGCUGGGGGUGAAAGGCCAAUCAAACCGGGAGAUAGCUGGUUCUCCCCGAAAGCUAUUUAGGUAGCGCCUCGUGAACUCAUCUCCGGGGGUAGAGCACUGUUUCGGCAAGGGGGUCAUCCCGACUUACCAACCCGAUGCAAACUGCGAAUACCGGAGAAUGUUAUCACGGGAGACACACGGCGGGUGCUAACGUCCGUCGUGAAGAGGGAAACAACCCAGACCGCCAGCUAAGGUCCCAAAGUCAUGGUUAAGUGGGAAACGAUGUGGGAAGGCCCAGACAGCCAGGAUGUUGGCUUAGAAGCAGCCAUCAUUUAAAGAAAGCGUAAUAGCUCACUGGUCGAGUCGGCCUGCGCGGAAGAUGUAACGGGGCUAAACCAUGCACCGAAGCUGCGGCAGCGACGCUUAUGCGUUGUUGGGUAGGGGAGCGUUCUGUAAGCCUGUGAAGGUGUGCUGUGAGGCAUGCUGGAGGUAUCAGAAGUGCGAAUGCUGACAUAAGUAACGAUAAAGCGGGUGAAAAGCCCGCUCGCCGGAAGACCAAGGGUUCCUGUCCAACGUUAAUCGGGGCAGGGUGAGUCGACCCCUAAGGCGAGGCCGAAAGGCGUAGUCGAUGGGAAACAGGUUAAUAUUCCUGUACUUGGUGUUACUGCGAAGGGGGGACGGAGAAGGCUAUGUUGGCCGGGCGACGGUUGUCCCGGUUUAAGCGUGUAGGCUGGUUUUCCAGGCAAAUCCGGAAAAUCAAGGCUGAGGCGUGAUGACGAGGCACUACGGUGCUGAAGCAACAAAUGCCCUGCUUCCAGGAAAAGCCUCUAAGCAUCAGGUAACAUCAAAUCGUACCCCAAACCGACACAGGUGGUCAGGUAGAGAAUACCAAGGCGCUUGAGAGAACUCGGGUGAAGGAACUAGGCAAAAUGGUGCCGUAACUUCGGGAGAAGGCACGCUGAUAUGUAGGUGAAGUCCCUCGCGGAUGGAGCUGAAAUCAGUCGAAGAUACCAGCUGGCUGCAACUGUUUAUUAAAAACACAGCACUGUGCAAACACGAAAGUGGACGUAUACGGUGUGACGCCUGCCCGGUGCCGGAAGGUUAAUUGAUGGGGUCAGCGCAAGCGAAGCUCUUGAUCGAAGCCCCGGUAAACGGCGGCCGUAACUAUAACGGUCCUAAGGUAGCGAAAUUCCUUGUCGGGUAAGUUCCGACCUGCACGAAUGGCGUAAUGAUGGCCAGGCUGUCUCCACCCGAGACUCAGUGAAAUUGAACUCGCUGUGAAGAUGCAGUGUACCCGCGGCAAGACGGAAAGACCCCGUGAACCUUUACUAUAGCUUGACACUGAACAUUGAGCCUUGAUGUGUAGGAUAGGUGGGAGGCUUGGAAGUGUGGACGCCAGUCUGCAUGGAGCCGACCUUGAAAUACCACCCUUUAAUGUUUGAUGUUCUAACGUUGACCCGUAAUCCGGGUUGCGGACAGUGUCUGGUGGGUAGUUUGACUGGGGCGGUCUCCUCCUAAAGAGUAACGGAGGAGCACGAAGGUUGGCUAAUCCUGGUCGGACAUCAGGAGGUUAGUGCAAUGGCAUAAGCCAGCUUGACUGCGAGCGUGACGGCGCGAGCAGGUGCGAAAGCAGGUCAUAGUGAUCCGGUGGUUCUGAAUGGAAGGGCCAUCGCUCAACGGAUAAAAGGUACUCCGGGGAUAACAGGCUGAUACCGCCCAAGAGUUCAUAUCGACGGCGGUGUUUGGCACCUCGAUGUCGGCUCAUCACAUCCUGGGGCUGAAGUAGGUCCCAAGGGUAUGGCUGUUCGCCAUUUAAAGUGGUACGCGAGCUGGGUUUAGAACGUCGUGAGACAGUUCGGUCCCUAUCUGCCGUGGGCGCUGGAGAACUGAGGGGGGCUGCUCCUAGUACGAGAGGACCGGAGUGGACGCAUCACUGGUGUUCGGGUUGUCAUGCCAAUGGCACUGCCCGGUAGCUAAAUGCGGAAGAGAUAAGUGCUGAAAGCAUCUAAGCACGAAACUUGCCCCGAGAUGAGUUCUCCCUGACUCCUUGAGAGUCCUGAAGGAACGUUGAAGACGACGACGUUGAUAGGCCGGGUGUGUAAGCGCAGCGAUGCGUUGAGCUAACCGGUACUAAUGAACCGUGAGGCUUAACCUUACAACGCCGAAG
rnacentral:rRNA from 1 species